UGGGGAAUAUUGGACAAUGGGCGCAAGCCUGAUCCAGCCAUGCCGCGUGUGUGAAGAAGGCCUGCGGGUUGUAAAGCACUUUAAGGUGGAAAGAAGGCCUGGGGGCGAAUACCCUCUGGGAUUGACGUUACCACCAGAAUAAGCACCGGCUAACUCCGUGCCAGCAGCCGCGGUAAUACGGAGGGUGCAAGCGUUAAUCGGAAUUACUGGGCGUAAAGCGCGCGUAGGCGGUUCACUCAGUCUGCUGUGAAAGCCCUGGGCUUAACCUGGGAACGGCAGUGGAAACUGGUGGGCUAGAGUAUGGUAGAGGGGAGUGGAAUUUCCGGUGUAGCAGUGAAAUGCGUAGAGAUCGGAAGGAACACCAGUGGCGAAGGCGGCUCUCUGGACCAAUACUGACGCUGAGGUGCGAAAGCGUGGGGAGCAAACA
rnacentral:rRNA from 1 species